GUGAACAGGAGCUGACCCUGUACAGAUUGAUCUCCGCCCUUCACCGCAAAGCAAAGCUGCUACCUACCCAGGCCAGACCCGUGAAGAUUCCGGGGUAGAAUAGGUCUUCAGCAACCCAUGCUUGCUGUAAAAGCAACAAUGGGCGGCUUGCUCGGCUCCUCAAGGCAGACGGUCAGUGUGCACCUCAAGAGGUUCUGCCAGCUUGCCAGGUACUGUUCUGUAUCAACAAUCCAUGUGUGUAACAUUGAAUCGUGUCUCCUUGUUAUAUUUCUGUUGGAUUGGCGCUACAAUUAUCUGUCCUGAUGACAGUUAAACAUUGCAGUAUGAACGAUCACACUGGGAUUGGAAAAGCCAUCUGGAAUUUGAUCACAGGAAACAUGGUGAAGGAGAAAGCUUUACCGUGGUGGAAAUGUUGCCAGCAUAUGCUAGGAUGCACAACGAAAGCAUUCAUUCUGCUCUUGGUUGUUCACCAUACAAGGCCAUGCUGGGCUGCCCUCCAGUACACUUCAAGAAUUUGUUGAGAGCUGGGAAUACAGUUGAUGCAAGCUCUUGCUCUGAAGAAGAUGAGCAGUGCGAACUAUCUGCAGGGAGUGAUGAGGUAUGGAGGAUUUAUGUCAUUACGCAUAAC